AAGGAAGCUGUGGGUGGGGACACAUCUGGUGGGAGGGAUUUGGAUCCUGCCAGUUUGUCCCUGCAACCCCCCACUCCUGUCCCCUCAAACCUGUUCACGGCUUGCAGCCCUGUGAUACCCUGCCACAUUCUGUGACAGAAUCCGAGAUCUAGGCAGAAGUGGGGAAGUACACUGUGGCCGUCGGGGCAGCUUUCUGUAAAAUGCUGCCUUGAGAAGCACGUGAUUCCAGACCUUCCUCUCUGCAAUACAAGUGAGGUUGACACCUACAGAUAUGAUUGUAACAGGAUUUUAGCUCAGUUGUAGACCUGGGGCAUGGCUGGCUGUUGCGGUCAUCUCAGCCUCCUGGCCCACUGAGCAGAACACACAGAAGCUGGGCCCACUCCAGCCCUCCCCACAAAGGGUCACCGGAGCCACUGCCUGACUUUGAAGCCCACUAACUUGUGGCGGACAAGAAAAAAGGAUGUGCCCCUGUGAUCACCUGCAACCUUCAUGUGAAAGCAUCAGCCAGGGGUUCAAGAACUUCCCUCCGGAGCCUCCCUCUCCCAGCGUGGCACCUGGCAGGGAAAAGAUUCUCUCCAAACCUUUGUGAAGGAAUUAAGGAUGACGUCACUAGAAUCCAUCCCUGUUUUAUUUUUUAUUUUUAUUUUUUGAGACAGAGUCUCGCUCUGUUGCCCAGGCUGGAGUGCAGUGGCACGAUCACAGCUCACUGCAAGCUCUGCCUCCCGGUUCAAGU